CUGGUGCCAAUAACAAGCAUCUAUCGCGGAAGGGCACUUAAAAAUACAGAAAUUUCCAUAUGGGAGAAUGAAACGGCCAGAUUUUUGAAAUUGGGAAUUCAUGUUAAAUGUCAAUAUUCUUCAUUUGGAGAAUGUGUAGGGCCACGAAAAAUAUCCAUCCACAGAAUCUACAAAAUAGAAUGGAGAGGUUUUGGAGUAUGGUGGCUCCAACUUUCCAGAGAGAUAAGCGCUUUCUUUCUGUCUCUCUUUCGUCUUUUGUCACAGGUUAUUUUCGGUUCAAUUCUACUCUGCAUUGCCUUUUUCACAGUCCGUGGUAAGUCCGAAAGGCUUAAACUGUUAGACACAAUAAUAAUAGUGAAUGCAGUGUUUAUAAUCAUUCCUAUUCAUAUCCUCAUCUUUGAACGUAGUACAAGAAAUGUUCUCCUGGACGUUCAAGGGCCUCAGAUUGCAACCCUCAUUCUUUUGUCACAGGCAGAGAUGGAUUCUUGGAGGUUUAUUUCGCCAGGCAGUCAGAUUAUUCUACAAUUUGUGGAUUUUUUUAAAAGGAAAAGUUACCUCAGUCCAUGCCAGGAUCAAGCUGGAGACAAAUUGACACCCUCUGAAGAUGUCAGUGUGAAGCAAUGCCAAAGGAGAAACAACUCUGCAUUUCUUAAAUCUUAAAUCAGCCUCUGGCUUCUUUUCCUUCUUCUGCUGCGGCUAUCGGCCAAAACAGAUGAUAAAGACGACAUCAUUUUUAGAAGCACACACUCCCCACUGAAAUUCGGCUGGCACCCGCGCUGGAUGCUUUUAAAAGCCAACUAAAAACCUGGUUAUUCAAACAGGCCUUCCCCCCAGUCAACUAAGUUUUUUUUUCUUUCCUUUUCUUCUGUUUUUUGAGUUUUAGCCAUCUUGAAUAAUAUUGCUUAUAAUUAUUGUAUUAUAUAUGUUAUUUAUAUGUUCUUUUAAUUUGUUUUAGCCUAUGUAAGCCGCCUCCAGUAGACGCUGUCUAGAGGGGCGGGGGAAAAAUCAAAUAAAUAAAUAAACAUCACCGUUUAGAGAUGCCGU
rnacentral:lncRNA from 1 species